AUGCUCCUGCGACUCUCCCCCGGGCCUCGCGCUCUCCCUCCUGGACCCACCGGCAACACUUACGGGUCCCGCCGCCGCCGCAGCCGCCGUCGCCUCCAAAACCUAAGAAAGGACAGAGUUUGGAGAGCUUCCUAUAAGCAAACCCGUGAAGGUUCUAGGAGGGUGGCACACCCGGAAAGGGCAUGGAAGCUUGGCGCCCCUGCCCACAUACCCUAUCCAUCUCUUCAUCUGGCGAUCAUCCAUAUCCUUUGUAACGUCCUUAACAGUAAACCGGAAAACCUAAGUAGUGGAGGAAGAAGAGAAUCACCAUAUAUCAUAUUUAGAGUUUCUGCAGAAGGGCAGAGCGAGUUUCAUGUUUGAGUGCAGUCUCUUUGCCCAGCGGAUGCGUGGGCAAAGCAUCUCACAGCCGCUUCAUGGAAGUGACAGUGAGCGCUGUCUUUCACAUGUAACUCCAGGAACCAGGGGAAACAAAACCAAUUUUACCCAGAGGUACAGACAAAGAAGAGCACCCUCCCAAAGGAGCCCGCGUGAUAAGUGGCUACGGCGAACAUCACUGUGAUCAGUCAGAAAGGCAGGCGAGUUAUUAGCUUAGCCCUGAACCUCCUACUUAAUGUAGAACCAGUGUGAUGGUUAACAGACCCUGGCUGCAGUGACAAGCCUGGGACCUGCUCGAGGAAAUCCAAUUGAAAAGCAGCCAAGAGGAACAACAAGCUCAAAACAGAUGUUCCAGCCACUGAGAUGUGCACACAUUUAACCUGAAUAUGUAGUUGGGGUGGGAUGGGGGCAUUCGUUUCUAAAUAUAGUGAUUUCACCUCUUCCCC